rnacentral:rRNA from 1 species
CCUACGGGUGGCAGCAGUGGGGAAUAUUGGGCAAUGGGCGCAAGCCUGACGCAGCAACGCCGCGUGAAGGAAGAAGGCUUUCGGGUUGUAAACUUCUUUUCUGAGGGACGAAGAAAGUGACGGUACCUCAGGAAUAAGCCACGGCUAACUACGUGCCAGCAGCCGCGGUAAUACGUAGGUGGCAAGCGUUAUCCGGAUUUAGUGGGUGUAAAGGGGGUGUAGGCGGGAAAGCAAGUCAGAUGUGAAACCUCAGGGCUCAACCCUGAGCCUGCAUUUGAAACGGUUUUUCUUGAGUGCUGGAGAGGCAAGCGGAAUUCCGUGUGUAGCGGUGAAAUGCGUAGAUAUAAGGAGGAACACCAGUGGCGAAGGCGGAUUGCUGGACAGUAACUGACGUUGAGGCGCGAAAGCGUGGGGAGCAAACAGGAUUAGAUACCCUAGUAGUC